rnacentral:misc_RNA from 1 species
UCCUGUACAAUUAUUCCCCUUGAGGCAGAUUGCUUGAAAGCCUUGAUCGGACUCCGGAAAUACCAGCCCAUCCCUUUGGAUGAUUUUACGUCACCACCACGGGAAUCUGACGUCACAGAUACAGCCACAGACCUCGAUUUCCUCAUCAUCUUCCUCCUCUCCUCCUCAUUCUUCUUCUUCUUCUUGUUCGCAUCUUCCUGUUCCAAUAAAACAGCGUUGUAUCGCUCGACAUCGCCUCUGUUGCUCACGUUACCGCUACUCCUGCUACUUUUGAAAAGCGACCAAAACGGCGACGCCGUUUUACGACUAUCUUUGCGGAUAGAGCAAUCAUGGUCAACAGGCGGCUUUGACCGUAGAAAUGGAAUUGCAAGUGACCUCGACCGGCGAAAGGAAGGCUCGCUCUCGAUCAGAUUGGACACAAGGCCGACAGUUCCGAUUCCAGUGACGAAUGAUUCAGUAGCGGCGGCGGCUGAGGAGAAGUGAGAGGAGGAAGAACAGGAGCUAGAGGAAGAAGUGGUGGCGGCAGCGUAACAAGCACAGGGACGUAUGUUAGCGCAGUCUGGACAGAGGGAGGAGAGUCGCUCACGGAGGCACACGUGGCAAAUUCCUGUACGGCGUUUCUUCGAAGGGUGUCUAGGACAUUUCCACACCUCCUCCUCGUCGAUGUAAAGCGCCAUUUCUCGGCGACCUCUCUCUUUCUCUAAAGAAUAACCUUUGCUUCUCUCUCUAGUAUAACAG